rnacentral:rRNA from 1 species
UGGGGAAUAUUGGACAAUGGGCGCAAGCCUGAUCCAGCCAUGCCGCGUGAGUGAUGAAGGCCUUAGGGUUGUAAAGCUCUUUCGUCCGGGACGAUAAUGACGGUACCGGAAGAAGAAGCCCCGGCUAACUUCGUG